rnacentral:rRNA from 1 species
UACGUGGGGGGCAAGCGUUGUCCGGAAUCAUUGGGCGUAAAGCGCGCGUAGGCGGCCCGGUAAGUCCGUUGUGAAAGUCAAAGGCUCAACCUUUGAACGCCGAUGGAUACUGCCGGGCUAGAGUCCGGAAGAGGCGAGUGGAAUUCCUGGUGUAGCGGUGGAAUGCGCAGAUAUCAGGAGGAACACCAAUAGCGAAGGCAGCUCGCUGGGACGGUACUGACGCUGAGGCGCGAAAGCGUGGGGAGCGAACAGG